rnacentral:rRNA from 1 species
CCUACGGGAGGCAGCAGUGGGGAAUAUUGCACAAUGGGGGAAACCCUGAUGCAGCAACGCCGCGUGAAGGAAGACGGUUUUCGGAUUGUAAACUUCUAUCAAUAGGGAAGAAAGAAAUGACGGUACCUAAAUAAGAAGCCCCGGCUAACUACGUGCCAGCAGCCGCGGGAAUACGUAGGGGGCAAGCGUUAUCCGGAAUUACUGGGGGGAAAGGGAGAGUAGGCGGCAAGGUAAGCGAUAUGUGAAAGCCUUAAGCUUAACUUAAGGAUGGCAUAACGAACUAUCUAGCUAGAGGACAGGAGAGGAAAGCGGAAGUCCUAGUGGAGCGGUGAAAUGCGUAGAUAGUAGGAAGAACACCAGUGGCGAAGGCGGCUUUCUGGACUGAAACUGACGCGGAGGCUCGAAAGCGUGGGGAGCGAACAGGAUUAGAUACCCCAGUAGUC